CCUACGGGUGGCAGCAGUGAGGAAUAUUGGUCAAUGGGCGCAAGCCUGAACCAGCCAAGUAGCGUGAAGGAUGAAGGCCCUACGGGUUGCAGACUUCUUUUAUAGAGGGAUAAAAUGCGGCACUUGUGCCGUUUUGUAUGUACUUUAUGAAUAAGCAUCGGCUAACUCCGUGCCAGCAGCCGCGGUAAUACGGAGGAUUCGAGCGUUAUCCGGAUUUAUUGGGUUUAAAGGGAGCGUAGAUGGGUUGUUAAGUCAGUUGUGAAAUUAUGGGGCUCAACCGUCAAAUUGCAAUUGAUACUGGCAGCCUUGAGUACAGGUGAGGUAGGCGGAAUUCGUGGUGUAGCGGUGAAAUGCUUAGAUAUCACGAAGAACCCCGAUUGCGAAGGCAGCCUGCUAAACUGCCACUGACAUUGAGGCUCGAAAGUGUGGGUAUCAAACAGGAUUAGAUACCCUAGUAGUC
rnacentral:rRNA from 1 species